AACGAACGCUGGCGGCAUGCCUAACACAUGCAAGUCGAACGAGACCUUCGGGUCUAGUGGCGCACGGGUGCGUAACGCGUGGGAACCUGCCCUUAGGUUCGGAAUAACUCCCCGAAAGGGGUGCUAAUACCGGAUAAUGUCUUCGGACCAAAGAUUUAUCGCCUUUGGAUGGGCCCGCGUUGGAUUAGCUAGUUGGUAGGGUAAAAGCCUACCAAGGCGACGAUCCAUAGCUGGUCUGAGAGGAUGAUCAGCCACACUGGUACUGAGACACGGCCCAGACUCCUACGGGAGGCAGCAGUGGGGAAUAUUGGACAAUGGGUGAAAGCCUGAUCCAGCAAUGCCGCGUGAGUGAUGAAGGCCUUAGGGUUGUAAAGCUCUUUUACCCGGGAUGAUAAUGACAGUACCGGGAGAAUAAGCUCCGGCUAACUCCGUG
rnacentral:rRNA from 1 species